rnacentral:rRNA from 1 species
GGAAACAGAUGCUAAUACCGGAUAACAACAGAUGAUGCCUAUCAACUGUUUAAAAGAUAGGUUCUGCUAUCACUCUUGGAUGGACCUGCGGUGCAUUAGCUAGUUGGUAGGGUAACGGCCUACCAAGGCGAUGAUGCAUAGCCGAGUUGAGAGACUGAUCGGCCACAUUUGGGGGAACUGAGACACGGCCCAAACUCCUACGGGAGGCAGCAGCA